rnacentral:rRNA from 1 species
UGACGGUACCUGACUAAGAAGCCCCGGCUAACUACGUGCCAGCAGCCGCGGUAAUACGUAGGGGGCAAGCGUUAUCCGGAUUUACUGGGUGUAAAGGGAGCGUAGACGGAAUUGCAAGUCUGAUGUGAAAGCUAGGGGCUCAACCCCUAAACUGCAUUGGAAACUGGUAGACUAGAGUGUCGGAGAGGUAAGUGGAAUUCCUAGUGUAGCGGUGAAAUGCGUAGAUAUUAGGAGGAACACCAGUGGCGAAGGCGGCUUACUGGACGAUAACUGACGUUGAGGCUCGAAAGCGUGGGGAGCAAACAGGAUUAGAUACCCUG